rnacentral:rRNA from 1 species
AAAUUGAAGAGUUUGAUCAUGGCUCAGAUUGAACGCUGGCGGCAGGCCUAACACAUGCAAGUCGAGCGGUAGCACAGAGAGCUUGCUCUCGGGUGACGAGCGGCGGACGGGUGAGUAAUGUCUGGGAAACUGCCUGAUGGAGGGGGAUAACUACUGGAAACGGUAGCUAAUACCGCAUAAUGUCGUAAGACCAAAGUGGGGGACCUUCGGGCCUCAUGCCAUCAGAUGUGCCCAGAUGGGAUUAGCUAGUAGGUGGGGUAACGGCUCACCUAGGCGACGAUCCCUAGCUGGUCUGAGAGGAUGACCAGCCACACUGGAACUGAGACACGGUCCAGACUCCUACGGGAGGCAGCAGUGGGGAAUAUUGCACAAUGGGCGCAAGCCUGAUGCAGCCAUGCCGCGUGUGUGAAGAAGGCCUUCGGGUUGUAAAGCACUUUCAGCGGGGAGGAAGGCGAUAAGGUUAAUAACCUUGUCGAUUGACGUUACCCGCAGAAGAAGCACCGGCUAACUCCGUGCCAGCAGCCGCGGUAAUACGGAGGGUGCAAGCGUUAAUCGGAAUUACUGGGCGUAAAGCGCACGCAGGCGGUCUGUCAAGUCGGAUGUGAAAUCCCCGGGCUCAACCUGGGAACUGCAUUCGAAACUGGCAGGCUAGAGUCUUGUAGAGGGGGGUAGAAUUCCAGGUGUAGCGGUGAAAUGCGUAGAGAUCUGGAGGAAUACCGGUGGCGAAGGCGGCCCCCUGGACAAAGACUGACGCUCAGGUGCGAAAGCGUGGGGAGCAAACAGGAUUAGAUACCCUGGUAGUCCACGCCGUAAACGAUGUCGAUUUGGAGGUUGUGCCCUUGAGGCGUGGCUUCCGGAGCUAACGCGUUAAAUCGACCGCCUGGGGAGUACGGCCGCAAGGUUAAAACUCAAAUGAAUUGACGGGGGCCCGCACAAGCGGUGGAGCAUGUGGUUUAAUUCGAUGCAACGCGAAGAACCUUACCUGGUCUUGACAUCCACAGAACUUUCCAGAGAUGGAUUGGUGCCUUCGGGAACUGUGAGACAGGUGCUGCAUGGCUGUCGUCAGCUCGUGUUGUGAAAUGUUGGGUUAAGUCCCAACGAGCGCAACCCUUAUCCUUUGUUGCCAGCGGUCCGGCCGGGAACUCAAAGGAGACUGCCAGUGAUAAACUGGAGGAAGGUGGGGAUGACGUCAAGUCAUCAUGGCCCUUACGACCAGGGCUACACACGUGCUACAAUGGCAUAUACAAAGAGAAGCGACCUCGCGAGAGCAAGCGGACCUCAUAAAGUAUGUCGUAGUCCGGAUUGGAGUCUGCAACUCGACUCCAUGAAGUCGGAAUCGCUAGUAAUCGUAGAUCAGAAUGCUACGGUGAAUACGUUCCCGGGCCUUGUACACACCGCCCGUCACACCAUGGGAGUGGGUUGCAAAAGAAGUAGGUAGCUUAACCUUCGGGAGGGCGCUUACCACUUUGUGAUUCAUGACUGGGGUGAAGUCGUAACAAGGUAACCGUAGGGGAACCUGCGGUUGGAUCACCUCCUUA